AUUGAACGCUGGCGGCAGGCCUAACACAUGCAAGUCGAACGGUAACAGGAAGCAGCUUGCUGCUUUGCUGACGAGUGGCGGACGGGUGAGUAAUGUCUGGGAAACUGCCUGAUGGAGGGGGAUAACUACUGGAAACGGUAGCUAAUACCGCAUAACGUCGCAAGACCAAAGAGGGGGACCUUCGGGCCUCUUGCCAUCGGAUGUGCCCAGAUGGGAUUAGCUAGUAGGUGGGGUAACGGCUCACCUAGGCGACGAUCCCUAGCUGGUCUGAGAGGAUGACCAGCCACACUGGAACUGAGACACGGUCCAGACUCCUACGGGAGGCAGCAGUGGGGAAUAUUGCACAAUGGGCGCAAGCCUGAUGCAGCCAUGCCGCGUGUAUGAAGAAGGCCUUCGGGUUGUAAAGUACUUUCAGCGGGGAGGAAGGGAGUAAAGUUAAUACCUUUGCUCAUUGACGUUACCCGCAGAAGAAGCACCGGCUGACUCCGUG
rnacentral:rRNA from 1 species